rnacentral:rRNA from 1 species
AUGGCCGGCUUUUCAAGCGCCACCUCCUGCGCUCUCCUCCUCCACCUCGUCAUCUUCUUCUUCCACCUUCCUACUCCUGCCGUCUCCUUGUCCUUCAACUACUCCACGUUCAGCUUGGCGGACCAGAACUCCAUCAAGGUCGAAGGCAACGCAUCCUUCGGCGACGGAUGGAUCGACAUCAGCGCCGACAGGUACGUCGGCAGCAUCGACAACAGCACUGGCCGGGCGUCCUACAGCUCCCAGCCCGUGCCGCUCUGGGACAAGGCGACCGGCGAGGUGGCCAGCUUCACCACGCGCUUCGACUUCACCAUCGUCGGCGACAAGAACAACAAGGGGCAAGGCAUGGCCUUCUUCCUCGCCGGCUACCCGUCUAGCCUGCCGGACCGCUGCCCCGUCUAUGCCUUCGGCCUCGCUAACCAGAGCGCGGACGCCGUGGCGUCCGGCGACGGCCGGUUCGUGGCGGUGGAGUUCGACACCUUCAACAAUUCAAUAAUAUCCGACCCCAACCAGACCUACGACCACAUCGGCAUCGACGUCAACUCCGUCAGAUCGAUGAGCACGCUGACUUUGCCGAGUUUCGACCUCAUGAACAACCUCACCGCCGCCAUCGAGUAUGACGGCGUUUCCAGCGUCUUAUCGGUGACGGUAUGGCUUGGUGAUGAUAAUAAAGGCCAGCCGAGAGGCCAGAGUUUCAACCUCAGCUCCAAGGUUGACCUCAAGAGCGCACUGCCGGAGCAGGUUUCCGUUGGCUUCUCCGCGUCCACGUCCACCUCCUUCGAACGGCAUCAGCUACGCUCUUGGUAUUUCAACUCUUCGUUGGAAUCACGGCCACCACCACCACCAGCACCAUCCUCCUCGCCAAGGCCAAGUUCUGGAGUUAUAGCCGGAGCUGCUGCAGGGGCAACAAUGUUCCUUGUGCUCCUCUUCGCAGCUGCAGCGGCACUCCUAGUGCGCCGCCGUCGUCGUCAAAACAUCAUGGAGAUGGAGGAGGAUUACACAGACUCGGAAGACGAAGGUGAGCCGAUGACGGAGAUCGAGAUGGGGACAGGGCCAAGGCGGUUCCCAUACCACGAGCUCGUGGGCGCCACCAAGAACUUCACCGCGGAGGAGAAGCUUGGGCAAGGUGGCUUCGGCGCGGUAUACCGAGGUUAUCUGAGAGAGCCAGCUGGGCUUGCCGUGGCCAUAAAGAGGUUGGAGUCCUCCAUGCAAGGAAAGAAGGAGUACAAGUCGGAGAUCAAGGUGAUAAGCAGGCUGCGUCACCGGAAUCUCGUGCGGCUGAUCGGCUGGUGCCAUGGCCGCGAUCAGGAGCUCAUGCUGGUCUAUGAGCUCAUGCCGAACCGCAGCCUCGACAUCCAUCUCCAUGGCAAGGGCACAUUCCUUACAUGGCCAAUGAGGAUGAAGAUAUUGCUGGAGCUUGGGUCUGCACUGCUCUACCUCCAUGAGGAGUGGGAGCAAUGCGUGUUGCACCGUGACAUCAAGCCCAGCAACGUGAUGCUCGACGAAUCCUUUGGAGCCAAGCUAGGCGACUUCGGGCUCGCGAGGCUCGUCGACCACGCCGCUGGGAUGCAGACGAUGACCGCAGUCUCAGGCACUCCUGGCUACUUGGACCCCGAGUGCGUGUGCACCGGCAGGGCCAGUGCCGAGUCCGACAUGUACAGCUUCGGAGUGGUUCUAUUGGAGGUGGCAUGCGGCAGGAGACCAAUGAGUAUAAUUGCGGCCGACCAGGACCAGCACAAGAAUGGCGGCGUCUUCAGGCUGGUUGAGUGGGCCUGGGAACUAUACGGCCGGGGAGCCAUCCUCGAGGCCGCUGAUGAGCGGCUGAACGGAAGCUACAACACGGUGGAGGUAGAGAGGGUGAUGGUCGUCGGGCUGUGGUGCGCGCACCCAAACCCAGCCGCGCGGCCGUCCAUCAGGACAGCCAUGGCCACUCUCCAGCCCAAGGUCAACCAAGCCUGCUGCGAGCUGCCGGUGCUUCCUUCAAAGAUGCCGAUGCCGAUGUACGCGCCGCUGUCACCGCCGCUCACCUCAGGCAACGUCGCUGGGGUGUCAUCAUCGUCCUCCUCCACCGUGCAAUCUCUUGCCUUGACCGACGUUGUUGGGAUGUCGUCGAUGAUAUCGUUCAACAUGCCACAGCACACCUCUGGUACCACAUCCUCCGGCGCUAGCACUUCAACAACCAGUUCGAAGACCUCUUCCUCGCUACUGAAACAUCAUCACACGUAG